GUCGGGAAUAUUGCACAAUGGAGGAAACUCUGAUGCAGUGACGCCGCGUGCAGGAAGAAGGUUUUCGGAUUGUAAACUGCUUUAGAUAGGGAAGAUAAAAGACUGUACCUAUAGAAUAAGCUCCGGCUAACUACGUGCCAGCAGCCGCGGUAAUACGUAGGGAGCAAGCGUUAUCCGGAUUUAUUGGGUGUAAAGGGUGCGUAGACGGGCUAACAAGUUAGUUGUGAAAUCCCUCGGCUCAACUGAGGAACUGCAACUAAAACUAUUAGUCUUGAGUGCGGGAGAGGAAAGUGGAAUUCCUAGUGUAGCGGUGAAAUGCGUAGAUAUUAGGAGGAACACCAGUGGCGAAGGCGACUUUCUGGACCGUAACUGACGUUGAGGCACGAAAGUGUGGGGAGCAAACAGG
rnacentral:rRNA from 1 species